UCUGCUCUCCACCCCCUCCCACCAGCACAGGGUACUGGGUAUCCAGGUUUCCCCCCAGCAUCUAGUAAAGGAUGGAGAUUCUCCUUUGUCCUCCUUUUUGUGUUAAUGUAUUUAUAAAAACAUUUUGUGUUAUCUUUAACAGCAGUAGCCAGGUAGAGCUCCAGAUGAGCUUUGGCCUUUCUAAUUCCAUCCCUGCAAAGCUUUACAACAUCCUCAUACUCCUCCUGAGUGGCCUGCCCUCUUUUCCAAAGAUCAUAAACCCUCUUUUUUUUCCUAAGCUCUAGCCACAACUCUCUGUUCAGCCAGGUCAGUCUUCUUCCACGCUGGCUUGUCUUCAGGCAUGUGGGGACAGACCAGUCCUGAACCUUUAAGAUUUCCAUCUUGAGGAGUGCCCAGCCUUCCUGGACUCCUCUGCCCUUCAGUACUGCCUUCCAAGGGUCUCUGCUAACCAGUGUCCUGUACAGCUGAAAGUUUGCCCUCCUUUAUUUCAGGAAUUUGCUGUGGUUGUCAAAGACUAAACCCAUAGAAGCAUGGGAGA